rnacentral:rRNA from 1 species
UACGUAGGGUGCAAGCGUUAAUCGGAAUUACUGGGCGUAAAGCGUGCGCAGGCGGUUGUGCAAGACCGAUGUGAAAAUCCCCCGGGCUUAACCUGGGAAUGGCAUUGGUGACUGCACGGCUAGAGUGUGUCAGAGGGGGGUAGAAUUCCACGUGUAGCAGUGAAAUGCGUAGAGAUGUGGAGGAAUACCGAUGGCGAAGGCAGCCCCCUGGGAUAACACUGACGCUCAU